GAUGAACGCUGGCGGCGUGCCUAAUACAUGCAAGUCGAGCGAACGGACGAGAAGCUUGCUCCUCUGAUGUUAGCGGCGGACGGGUGAGUAACACGUGGAUAACCUACCUAUAAGACUGGGAUAACUUCGGGAAACCGGAGCUAAUACCGGAUGAUAUUUUGAACCGCAUGGUUCAAAAGUGAAAGACGGUCUUGCUGUCACUUAUAGAUGGAUCCGCGCUGCAUUAGCUAGUUGGUAAGGUAACGGCUUACCAAGGCAACGAUGCAUAGCCGACCUGAGAGGGUGGUCGGCCACACUGGAACUGAGACUCGGUCCAGACUCCUACGGGAGGCAGCAGUCGGGAAUCUUCCGCAAUGGGCCAAAGCCUGACGGUGCAACGCCGCGUGAGUGAUGAAGGUCUUCGGAUCGUAAAACUCUGUUAUUAGGGAAGAACAUAUGUGUAAGUAACUGUGCACAUCUUGACGGUACCUAAUCAGAAAGCCACGGCUAACUACGUG
rnacentral:rRNA from 1 species